UACGGAGGAUUCAAGCGUUAUCCGGAUUUAUUGGGUUUAAAGGGUGCGUAGGCGGUCGGAUAAGUUAGAGGUGAAAUCCCGAGGCUCAACUUCGGAAUUGCCUCUGAUACUGUUCGGCUAGAGAGUAGUUGCGGUAGGCGGAAUGCGCGGUGUAGCGGUGAAAUGCAUAGAUAUCGCGCAGAACUCCGAUUGCGAAGGCAGCGUACCAAGCUACUUCUGACGUUGAGGCACGAAAGCGUGGGGAGCAAACAGG
rnacentral:rRNA from 1 species